UUAGGAAUAUUGGGCAAUGGAGGAAACUCUGACCCAGCAACGCCGCGUGAAGGAUGAAGGUCUUCGGAUUGUAAACUUCUGUUCUAAGGGACGAAACAAAUGACUGUACCUUAGAAGAAAGCCCCGGCAAACUACGUGCCAGCAGCCGCGGUGAUACGUAGGGGGCAAGCGUUGUCCGGAAUGACUGGGCGUAAAGGGAGUGUAGGCGGUUUUUUAAGUUAAAUGUGAAAUCCUGGGGCUUAACUCCAGAACUGCAUUUAAUACUGGAAGACUUGAGUGUGGGAGAGGUAAGUGGAAUUCCUAGUGUAGCGGUGGAAUGCAUAGAUAUUAGGAGGAACAUCAGUGGCGAAGGCGACUUACUGGAACAUAACUGACGCUGAGGCUCGAAAGCGUGGGGAGCAAACAGG
rnacentral:rRNA from 1 species